AUUGAACGCUGGCGGCAGGCCUAACACAUGCAAGUCGAGCGGAUGAAGGGAGCUUGCUCCUGGAUUCAGCGGCGGACGGGUGAGUAAUGCCUAGGAAUCUGCCUGGUAGUGGGGGAUAACGUCCGGAAACGGGCGCUAAUACCGCAUACGUCCUGAGGGAGAAAGUGGGGGAUCUUCGGACCUCACGCUAUCAGAUGAGCCUAGGUCGGAUUAGCUAGUUGGUGGGGUAAAGGCCUACCAAGGCGACGAUCCGUAACUGGUCUGAGAGGAUGAUCAGUCACACUGGAACUGAGACACGGUCCAGACUCCUACGGGAGGCAGCAGUGGGGAAUAUUGGACAGUGGGCGAAAGCCUGAUCCAGCCAUGCCGCGUGUGUGAAGAAGGUCUUCGGAUUGUAAAGCGCUUUAAGUUGGGAGGAAGGGCAGUAAGUUAAUACCUUGCUGUUUUGACGUUACCAACAGAAUAAGCACCGGCUAACUUCGU
rnacentral:rRNA from 1 species